rnacentral:rRNA from 1 species
ACUACGGGAGGCUGCAGUGGGGAAUAUUGGGCAAUGGGCGCAAGCCUGACCCAGCAACGCCGCGUGAAGGAAGAAGGCUGUCGGGUGGGAAACUUCUUUUCUCAGGGACGAAGCAAGUGACGGUACCUGAGGAAUAAGCCAGGGCUAACUACGUGCCAGCAGCGGCGGUAAUACGGAGGUGGGAAGCGUUAUCAGGAUUUACUGGGGGUAAAGGGCGUGUAGGGGGGAAAGCAAGUCAGAUGUGAAAACCAUGGGCGCAACCUGUGGACUGCAUUUGAAACUGUUUUUCUUGAGUACUGGAGAGGCAGACGGAAUUCCUAGUGUAGCGGUGAAAUGCGUAGAUAUUAGGAGGAACACCAGUGGCGAAGGCGGUCUGCUGGACAGCAACUGACGCUGAGGCGCGAAAGCGUGGGGAGCAAACAGGAUUAGAUACCCUAGUAGUC